AUCAAGUUUCCUUCUCAGAAAAUAAGCGAUAAGACGCUGAGCAGCACUGCCUCACCUCUUCCUCCACCUGCAGCUCCUGCAGCUCCCUCUUGUCACCCAUGAACCUCAACACAGUAAUCCACACAGCUAACGCAGCCUGGAAGACAUGGAAAAAGAGGUUUUAAUCAGAUCUUUGAUGAGCUCAUCACAGGGUACUCUCGUGUGACAAUUUUUCAAUCACAAUGUUUUUCUUCCACAAAAUUUUCCAUGAAUGUUCUUGGAUAAAGCACCCUACAUUAUUUAUCAUGUUUUUCAGAGGUAUUUUGUUUUGAUUGCAUAUUUUUUAGUUUUAUAUUUUAUUUAUUCUGCUGUUUGCACCAGGGAUAUGAGGGAAACACUGACAUCUACCACUUAGCUGUGAUUCCCCUUCAUCCUGGUUUCUAAUAGCCAUAAAAUAUAAAAUAAAUAUGAUAUAUUGACCCUUUUGGGUCAGUCUGGAUAAACCAUAAAU